UGAACACACCAACACGUCACUGAAGGGAUGUUGUUUCUCUUGAAUAAGCUCUUCUUGGAGUGUUACAAGCCUUUGUUUAAUUUCCAGAGUUCUAAAAAGGUUGAGUUGCCAUUUUUGUUGGUGUUGUGAUUGCUUUUGCGGAGGAGUGUAUUUUCAUAUAAUUGGUUCUUCUUUUUUCAAGAACAAUUUUAAGUUUAUUUAUUUUUUAUUUAUUUUGAGAGAGAGAGAGAGAGAGAGAGCAAGCAGGGGAGGAGCAGAGAGAGAGGGGGAGAGGGGGAGAGAGAAUCCCAAGCAGAGAGAGAGAGAGAGAGCAAGCAGGGGAGGAGCAGAGAGAGAGGGGGAGAGAGAAUCCCAAGCACUGACAGCACAGAGCCUGCUAUGGGGCUCCAUCUCAUGAACCGUGAAACCAUGACCUGAGCCAAAGUCGGAUGCUUAACUGGCUGAGCCACCGAGGCGCCCCUGUAAUUAGUAGUUGGUUCUUAUUAAUGUACUUGGUCCUUACUCCACCAUUCUGAAUGUUACCUCUCCCUCUCCCCACUCUUCUUACCAGGAAUGUGGCAUAUAUGUUUGGAGUGGGAAGAGAAUCUCAUUACCAUGAACCCAACAGUUGCACAGCCUGAAGACCUUGCUUACGUGUGGAAUCCACCAGAAGCCUUCUGUUCUUCCUGUGCUGCCGUGAACCUGCCUGUACUAAUCCUCCCAGGAUGGCUGUGCGGGGCCUCCCAGUUGACGCUGUAGGAAGUAACAUCCAAAGCUUUAAGUUUCCUACAGACCAAAUGCCGGUGAGAUGCUCACGUCUCCUUCUAUCUCCGUCCCUCUCUGUCUCUCUGUCCCUUUUUUACUUUAAACCUAGUAACAAACAUAGAGUUUGAAAGCUGAGAAGCAGGUAUGUGUUACAGGUGCCAAAGCGUUGGCACACUGGUCUG
rnacentral:lncRNA from 1 species